rnacentral:rRNA from 1 species
UACGGAGGGGGCUAGCGUUGUUCGGAAUCACUGGGCGUAAAGCGCACGCAGGCGGAUUGAUAAGUCAGGGGUGAAAUCCUGGAGCUCAACUCCAGAACUGCCUUUGAUACUGAAGAUCUUGAGUCCGGGAGAGGUGAGUGGAACUGCGAGUGUAGAGGUGAAAUUCGUAGAUAUUCGCAAGAACACCAGUGGCGAAGGCGGCUCACUGGCCCGGUACUGACGCUGAGGCACGAAAGCGUGGGGAGCAAACAGG